UUUCCGUAGGUGAACCUGCGGAAGGAUCAUUAAUGAGUUGUCAUGGGGUUCGAUGCUGGCAGCCAGUUUUUGGAUGCAUGUGCUUGCCCUAACAAUCAUCUUCUUCCAAACACCUGUGCACAUUUUUGAGGGAGUCUUGAGUUGGUUGCCGCUCUUGGGUGAUUUUCUCACUUUCCCUUAAAUCAUUAUACACUAUUAACAAUGUUGAACGUGCUCUGUGCCGCAAGGCCAUUAAUAUAAUACAACUUUUAACAACGGAUCUCUUGGCUCUC
rnacentral:misc_RNA from 1 species